GGGGCUUCUCGGAUGAUCGCCGGUGCCUUAGGGCGCGGGAGGAAAGUCCGGGCAUCAUAGAGAAGGGUGGUCGGUAACGCCGACCGGGGGUAACCCUAGGGAAAGUGCCACAGAAAAUACUCCGCCUGUACUCGUACAGGUAAGGUUGAAAUGGUGAGGUAAGAGCUCACCGGGGGCUUGGUGACAAGUCCCGCAUGGUAAACCCCACCCGAUGCAAGGCGAACAGGGGGCGAGCUUCGGCUCAGGAGUUUCUCGCUCCGAGACCCCCGGGUUGCCGCUAGAGCCUCGUGGCAACACAAGGCCUAGAUGAAUGAUCAUCACCGUUUCGGCGGUACAGAACCCGGCUUAGAGAGAAGCCCCACUU
rnacentral:RNase_P_RNA from 1 species